rnacentral:pre_miRNA from 11 species
UGGAGCUGUGGAGUGUGACAAUGGUGUUUGUAUCCAAUCCGUCAAACGCCAUUAUCACACUAAAUAGCUACUGC